rnacentral:rRNA from 1 species
UACGUAGGUGGCAAGCGUUGUCCGGAAUUAUUGGGCGUAAAGCGCGCGCAGGCGGCCUCUUAAGUCUGAUGUGAAAUCUUGCGGCUCAACCGCAAGCGGCCAUUGGAAACUGGGGGGCUUGAGUACAGAGGAGGAGAGUGGAAUUCCACGUGUAGCGGUGAAAUGCGUAGAUAUGUGGAGGAACACCAGUGGCGAAGGCGACUCUCUGGUCUGUAACUGACGCUCAUGCACGAAAGCGUGGGGAGCAAACAGG